CGGGGUGAGUAACGCGUGGAUAACCUGCCUCACACUGGGGGAUAACAGUUAGAAAUGACUGCUAAUACCGCAUAAGCGCACAGUACCGCAUGGUACAGUGUGAAAAACUCCGGUGGUGUGAGAUGGAUCCGCGUCUGAUUAGCCAGUUGGCGGGGUAACGGCCCACCAAAGCGACGAUCAGUAGCCGACCUGAGAGGGUGACCGGCCACACUGGGACUGAGACACGGCCCAA
rnacentral:rRNA from 1 species